UUAGUAAAUUUAAAAUUUUAAUAUUAAUAUUUUUUAUUUAUUUAAUUUUAGUUUUUUUAAUAAUAAAUUAUAUAAUAAAACUGUAAAGGUUAAUUUUAAUAUUUAAGAAUUAUUAAUAGUACCUUUUGUAUCAGGGUUAUUUAAUUAUUAAAUUUACUAAUUUUUUUCCCGAAUUGAAAAUAUUUAGUUUUAUUAAGUUUUUCUUGUUAUAUAAAGUUUAUAAAAAUAAAUCUGGUAAUUAAAAGUUAAUCGUUUUUCAUUAUAUCUGGUUAAUCAGGAUUUAAUUUAAUUAUAGGCUGAUUUUUUUAUAUAAAUUUUUAUUUUUUAGUCUUAUAUAAUACUGGAUAAUCUGUAUUUUUUGUUAAAAUUUAAUUUAAACUCAAUUUUAAUUUUUUUAUAAUCAUAAAUUUAGUUCGUAAUAGAUUAUAUUGUUUAAUAUAUAAUUUUUUUAUAUUUAAUUUUUUACUGAUUUUUUAUAACUAAUUUUUUAUUUUUAUUAAUAAUGAAUUAAUUAGUAUAAUUUUUAAUUUAAUUAUAUGAAUUCGACAAAUUUAAUUUUCAACUGUUUAUCAAAAACAUUUUCUUUAGUUAAUAUUAAAGGUAAUUUCUGCCCAAUGAUUAAUUUUAAAUGGCUGCAGUAUUUUGACUGUACAAAGGUAGCAUAAUAAUUAGUCUUUUAAUUGAAGACUAGAAUGAAUGAAAAAAUGAAAUAUUUAUUUUAUUUAAUUAAUUAUUAAAAUUUAAUUUUUAAGUUAAAAAGCUUAAUUUUUUUAUAGGGACGAUAAGACCCUAUAGAACUUUAUAAUUUAAUAUUAAUUUUUAGAUAUUUUUUGUUUUUAAUUAUUUAAUUGGGGUGAUUAAUAAAUAUAACUUACUUUAUUUUUUUUUUUCAUUAAUAUAUGAUUUUAUGUUCCAUAUUUUAUGACUAUAAGUUUUAGUUACCUUAGGGAUAACAGCGUAAUUUUAAUGGGGAGUUCAUAUCUAUAUUAAAGUUUGCGACCUCGAUGUUGAAUUAAGAAAAUAUUAAGGGGUAGGUUCUUUAAGUUUAAGUCUGUUCGACUUUUAAAUUCUUACAUGAUUUGAGUUCAAACCGGUGUAAGCCAGGUUGGUUUCUAUCUUAUAACUAAAAAUUAAUUUAGUACGAAAGGACCAGUUAAUUCAAUUUUUAAUUGUA
rnacentral:rRNA from 1 species